AGGACGAACGCUGGCGGCGUGCUUAACACAUGCAAGUGGAGCGACGAACCAGGCUUCGGCCUGGGGCAAAGCCGCGAACGGGUGAGUAACACGUGGGUAACGUGCCCCGAUGACCGGGACAACCCGAGGAAACUCGGGCUAAUACCGGAUGUGCUGCACAGACGUAAGCCUGUGCAACAAAGGAAGCUUCGGCCUCCGCAUCGGGAGCGGCCCGCGGCCCAUUAGCUUGUUGGUGAGGUAACGGUUCACCAAGGCUGCGAUGGGUAGCUGGUCUGAGAGGACGAUCAGCCACACUGGGACUGAGACACGGCCCAGACUCCGUACGGGAGGCAGCAGUGGGGAAUCUUGCGCAAUGGCGACGAAAGCGUGACGCAGCAACGCCGGACGUGGGGGAACGACGGGCCUUCGGGUUACGUAACCGUCGUUUCGAGGAGGGACGAAGGUACGAGGCGACGAAGUA
rnacentral:rRNA from 1 species